rnacentral:sRNA from 1 species
CUGGUAGAGAACGUGAAGGAUAACGUUGCUUUAGCAACGGCCCGAAGGGCGAGGCGAAGCCGAGUCAUCCUGCACGACCCACCA